CUACGAGCCAUGCCGAAUUUGAACAAUGGAUUGAAGCGGAAACUCGGGCCGAUAACAACAAGCCCAAGUAUCAAGUUCUUUCUUCUCCCGGCACGACCCGUUCGCGGGGCGUUGCCGUUCUCUAUCACCCUUCUCUUUCCUCUGCGCGUUGAUUCCACUGCU